UUACCAUGGAGAGUUUGAUCCUGGCUCAGGAUGAACGCUGGCUACAGGCUUAACACAUGCAAGUCGAGGGGCAGCAUGGCGGAUGCUUGCAUCUGCCGAUGGCGACCGGCGCACGGGUGAGUAACGCGUAUCCAACCUACCUUCAAGCAGGGGACAAUCCGUAGAAAUGCGGUCUGAUACCCUAUGUAUUCCAACGAGGUCCUCCGUGUUGGAAGAAAGGUUUAUCCGCUUGUUGAUGGGGAUGCGUCCGAUUAGCUUGUUGGCGGGGCAACGGCCCACCAAGGCAACGAUCGGUAGGGGUUCUGAGAGGAAGGUCCCCCACACUGGAACUGAGACACGGUCCAGACUCCUACGGGAGGCAGCAGUGAGGAAUAUUGGUCAAUGGGCGUAAGCCUGAACCAGCCAAGUAGCGUGCAGGAUGACGGCCCUAUGGGUUGUAAACUGCUUUUAUACGGGGAUAAAGUGCGCCACGUGUGGUGUUUUGCAGGUACCGUAUGAAUAAGGACCGGCUAAUUCCGUGCCAGCAGCCGCGGUAAUACGGAAGGUCCGGGCGUUAUCCGGAUUUAUUGGGUUUAAAGGGAGCGUAGGCCGCAUGUCAAGCGUGUUGUGAAAUGCAGGUGCUCAACACCUGGAUUGCAGCGCGAACUGUCGUGCUUGAGUGUGCGCAACGUUGGCGGAAUUCGUCGUGUAGCGGUGAAAUGCUUAGAUAUGACGAGGAACCCCGAUUGCGAAGGCAGCUGACGGGAGCAUAACUGACGCUGAAGCUCGAAGGUGCGGGUAUCGAACAGGAUUAGAUACCCUGGUAGUCCGCACGGUAAACGAUGGAUGCCCGCCGUCCGCCCUUUUAUUGGGCGUGUGGCCAAGCGAAAGCAUUAAGCAUCCCACCUGGGGAGUACGCCGGCAACGGUGAAACUCAAAGGAAUUGACGGGGGCCCGCACAAGCGGAGGAACAUGUGGUUUAAUUCGAUGAUACGCGAGGAACCUUACCCGGGCUUGAAUUGCAGAGGAACGAUCCAGAGAUGGUGAGGCCCUUCGGGGCUUCUGCGAAGGUGCUGCAUGGUUGUCGUCAGCUCGUGCCGUGAGGUGUCGGCUCAAGUGCCAUAACGAGCGCAACCCCUCUCCGCAGUUGCCAUCGGGUCAUGCCGGGCACUCUGUGGACACUGCCGCCGCAAGGUGUGAGGAAGGUGGGGAUGACGUCAAAUCAGCACGGCCCUUACGUCCGGGGCUACACACGUGUUACAAUGGGGGGCACAGCAAGCCGGCCGCGUGCAAACGCGGUCCAAUCCUGAAAUCCCCCCUCAGUUCGGACUGGGGUCUGCAACCCGACCCCACGAAGCUGGAUUCGCUAGUAAUCGCGCAUCAGCCAUGGCGCGGUGAAUACGUUCCCGGGCCUUGUACACACCGCCCGUCAAGCCAUGAAAGCCGGGGGUGCCUGAAGUCCGUGACCGGAAGGAUCGGCCUAGGGCAAAACUGGUGAUUGGGGCUAAGUCGUAACAAGGUAGCCGUACCGGAAGGUGCGGCUGGAACACCUCCUUUCU
rnacentral:rRNA from 1 species